ACCUCGGUGGUGUAGUGGUAGUAGCACGCGUCUCCGGCAUGGAUGAAACGCGAGUUCGAUUCCCGUCUGAGGCC